AUGGAUUCAUUUGGUGCUUCUUCAGCCUUGUCAUUUUCUUUGUACUCCUCUUCUGAGCCUUCAGUUUCAUCUAUGUUAUCAUUAUUUUCUACUACAGAUUCAUCUUCUGCUUUUUCUCCUUCUUCUUCCACAUGUACACCUUCCAAGGCAUUUCCCAAAACACCAUUCUCCAUUAAGAGACUGGCUGCUUCCUGGAAUGCAUUGACAGCUGCUGGAAUAUCUCCCAUCACCAGAUGUUUCUGUCCCAACCCUAAUAGCUUCUUAGCUUCAUUAUCCACAUCCAGACUUUCCACUUUAUCUGAAGAGGUAGAAGGAGCAGGAGCAUCUUCAAUUUUGUUGGUGGAAACUAGCUCUGUGGCGAUGGCAGUUGUGGCUGUGGCCUCUGUGGACAUCAUUCCCCUGAGAUGGUGAGCCAGUGGAUGGAAAUGAGCCUGUGAGGAAAACGGAGGGAAUUUGGGGAACCAGAAUCUUACUUAGGAGCAGAAAAUGGCCUACAAGCCAAGAUUUAAAUAAUCAAA
rnacentral:lncRNA from 1 species